rnacentral:rRNA from 1 species
UACGUAGGGUGCAAGCGUUAAUCGGAAUUACUGGGCGUAAAGCGUGCGCAGGCGGUGAUGUAAGACAGAUGUGAAAUCCCCGGGCUCAACCUGGGAACUGCAUUUGUGACUGCAUCGCUGGAGUGCGGCAGAGGGGGAUGGAAUUCCAGGUGUAGCAGUGAAAUGCGUAGAGAUCUGGAGGAACACCGAUGGCGAAGGCAGCCCCCUGGGCUAACACUGACGCUCAUGCACGAAAGCGUGGGGAGCAAACAGG